UACGGAGGGGGCAAGCGUUGUUCGGAAUUACUGGGCGUAAAGGGCGCGCAGGCGGCUGCUCAAGUCAGGCGUGAAAGGCCUGGGCUCAACCCGGGAAUUGCGCUUGAGACUGGGCUGGCUUGAGUGCGGGAGAGGAUGGUGGAAUUCCCAGUGUAGAGGUGAAAUUCGUAGAUAUUGGGAGGAACACCGGUGGCGAAGGCGGAUCUCUGGGCCUUACCUGACGCUGAGGAGCGAAAGCGUGGGGAGCAAACAGG
rnacentral:rRNA from 1 species